GACGAACGCUGGCGGCGUGCCUAAUACAUGCAAGUAGAACGCUGAAGGAGGAGCUUGCUUCUCCGGAUGAGUUGCGAACGGGUGAGUAACGCGUAGGUAACCUGCCUGGUAGCGGGGGAUAACUAUUGGAAACGAUAGCUAAUACCGCAUAAGAGUAGAUGUCGCAUGACAUUUGCUUAAAAGGUGCAACUGCACCACUACCAGAUGGACCUGCGUUGUAUUAGCUAGUUGGUGAGGUAACGGCUCACCAAGGCAACGAUACAUAUCCGACCUGGGAGGGUGAUCGGCCACACUGGGACGUAGACACGGCCCAGACUCCUACGGGAGGCAGCAGGAGGGGAUCUUCGGCAAUGGACGGAAGUCUGACCGAGCAACGCCGCGGGAGUGAAGAAGGGUUUCGGAUCGUAAAGCUCUGUUGUAAGAGAAGAACGAGUGUGGGAGUGGAAAGUGCACACUGUGACGGUAUCUUACCAGAAAGGGACGGCUAACUACGUG
rnacentral:rRNA from 1 species